rnacentral:sRNA from 1 species
GUGCGUGGCACCGGGUCAUUACUUGUGCAUAUCUUCCGAACAAAUCAA